UAUAAAACAAAUAAUGAAUGUUUUUAUUCGUGCAAUGGUAAGAAUAUUUUGAUGAGGUGAAAGAUGGAAUGUUCCAUUCAACUCGGCUGUCGCCUCGUUGAAUGGAACAUUCCAUCUUUCACCUCAUCAAAAUAUUCUUACCAUUGCACGAAUAAAAACAUUCAUUAUUUGUAUACUG